rnacentral:lncRNA from 1 species
GAUAUUGUUCUACGUGAGUUUUUAAAAUUCUUUGAUUUUGAUGGCCUUUUUUGCCCUGUGAUUGCUGAUGGAGAUUUUUUUUUAUUGCGUUUCUGUUGGUUUUUAAGUUUGAAUUGGUUUAUCUAUCUCUUAUGUUGUUCUAUCGUUGUUGGCUGUGGAUUUCUUUUUAUUUGAUCGUGCUGUAACCGUUUUGACUCAUUCCUUGCGUUGUUCUGCUGUUUUUUUUUUCUGCCAUUACUUCUUUGCAGUCUUGAAG